AGAAUGCUGUCCGUGGUACGUCUAUAGAAGUUUUUGUUGAUAUACCAAAUCUCUUCAAACUCCUAAUGAAGUACAGUCGCUGUCUUGCCUUCUUUAUAACUGCGUUGAUAUGUUGGGACCAAGUUGGGUACUCAAUAAUAUCGACACCAGGAGUUUGAAACUGCUCACUCUCUCCACUUCUGAUCACUCUGCAAGGAUUGGCAUGUGUUCCUUCGUCUUAACCUUCCUGAAGUCCACAAUCAGUUUUUUCAUCUUACUGAUGCUGAGUGCAAGAUUGUUGCCGCGACACCAUCCCACUAGCUGCAUAUUCGUACAAACUACGUACUUUGGAAAAGGGAAGAGGUCCUGAAGAGAGAAUAUAGGGAGUCAGGUACAAUGUUGCAAAGCUGGACCUCCAUGGCAGCAGUCUCUUUAAUUGCAACCUGUGCCAUGCACCAGUGAGGGUGAGAAUAGAACGAUUUGGCAGAUGAAUGUGUAGCUGAGGAAUUGGUGCAAGGGGCAGUGGUUGACAUUUCUGGACCAUUGGGAUCUCUUCUGGGAAAGAUGUGGCCUGUACAGAAAAGACAGGUUACGCCUGAACCUGAGGGGGACCAACAUCCUUGGAAGUAGGUUUGCUAGAGCUGCUGGGGAAGGUUUAAACUAAGUUGGUAGAUGGAUAGGAACGAGAAUGAUAGGGCUGAGUAUGGGCAGUUGGUAUACAAGCAGAUUUGUAUUGAGUUGAUUUCUUUGUGGUCAUGUUUGCAGGUGAUACAAAGAUAGGUGGAGGGGCAGGUAGUGUUAAGGAAGCAGGGAGUCUGCAGACGGGAGAAUGGACAAAGAAGUGCCAGAUGGAAUAUGGUGCUGGGAAGUGUGUGGUCAUGCACUGUACGUGAAGGAAUAAACUACCUUCCAAACAGGGAGAAAAUACAAACAUCAGAAAUGCAAAGGGUCUUGGGAGUCCUCAAACAAGGUCAACUUGCAGGUUCAGCCAGUGUUAAAGAAGACAAAUGCAAUUUUGAGAAGACCAGGAUAUAAAAAUAAGGACAAACACGAGGAAAUCUGCAGAUGCUGGAAAUUCAAGCAACACACACAAAAUGCUGGUGGAACGCAGCAGGCCAGGCAGCAUCUACAGGGAGAAGCGAUGUCAACAUUAACAACAACACACACAAAAUGCUGGUGGAACACAGCAGGCCAGGCAGCAUCUAUAGGGAGAAGCACUGUCGACAUUAACAACAACACACACAAAAUGCUGGUGGAACGCAGCAGGCCAGGCAGCAUCUACAGGGAGAAGCGCUGUCGACAUUAACAACAACACACACAAAAUGCUGGUGGAACACAGCAGGCCAGGCAGCAUCUAUAGGGAGAAGCACUGUCGACAUUAACAACAACACACACAAAAUGCUGGUGGAACACAGCAGGCCAGGCAGCAUCUAUAGGGAGAAGCACUGUCGACAUUAACAACAACACACACAAAAUGCUGGUGGAACACAGCGGGCCAGGCAGCAUCUAUAGGGAGAAGCGAUGUCAACAUUAACAACAACACACACAAAAUGCUGGUGGAACACAGCAGGCCAGGCAGCAUCUAUAUAUAGGAAGAAGCACUGUUGACAUUUCGGGCCGAGACCCUUCAUCAGGACUAACUGAAAGGAGAGAUACUAAGAGAUUUGAUUUUGAAGAUAUUCGCCGCUUCGUCUGAACGAGGCCCAGUGUCUGUCCUGCUAGCACACGGUCAGGCAGCCACAGAGCAAGAAACUGGAAAGACCCAAUUAAAAACCAUAACCCUUAGAUCCUCUCCUGGAGCAGCUGGAGUAGGUCCAAGUUUUGAUCUCAGUUCAUCAUAUUAGUGGGGCAAAAAUAUCACUGCACUGGUAGAGAUGACAGAUGUUGGAGUGGUUCACAGCCUCGGUGCUGCAGAAAGAGGAAUGAACAUCGCUGGAGAGCGAGCAGAAUCAGUCCAAUCCCCAGCCCCGUUGCCAGCACGGGCUUUCCAGUCUUUUCGGACCAGGUAUUGCUGUGCUCUAGGACCCAGAUCCCGCCACACGGCCCAAAGCCAUUCUCCAUCUCACCAAGUCGGCUUGGUACUCGGAGUAACCCAACCUGGUGCCCAGGUCAGGCGGACAGACAUCGAAACUCUUCCACAUCAACUCAUCCUGAAUACCAAACAACUUAACCUUCUGGACCAGCCUCACAUGCAGGAAUUUGUCAAUGGCCUUGCUAAACUCCAUUUAGAAAAUAUCCACCACCUUUCCUUCAUCAACCUUAUUGGUAACUACCUAUAAGAUUGGAUAGGCAUUCUAACACACACAAAGCCAUGUUGACUAGCCCUAAUCAGGCCCUGUCUUUCGAAAUAUUUAUAUAACCUGUCUCUCAGAAUACCUCCUAAUAAGUUAUCUACAACUGACGUCAGGCUCAUUGGCGUACAAUUUCCCAGCUGAUUCUUCGAGCCUUUCUUGAAUCCUCUAGUACCUUGGCACCUCACCAGUCAGUAAAGGCUCACUCCCCACACCCUUCACUAUGUCUUGCAAAAUUUUCACCAUAUGUUUAUCCAAUUCCUCGUCAGAAGUCAUGAUUGAUCCUGUCUUCACAUCUGCAGUCAGUGCUUUUCAGAUGCCAACUGCACAGUGUAAAAAUAUUUUUUCUCAUGGCACUCUUAUCUCUCAUCCAUGACCCCUCCACUAAAGAAACGGCCUGCCUUCCUCUAAGAUCCCUGUCUAUUUGACAUUCUUCUGUGCAAGUUACAGCAAGGCAAAUGUUAAGACAGUGUGCAGUCACCUGAGCUAAACAUGGCAACCCAAGCAAAGCCCAUUCCUUGAAUACCUAGCUCCACUUUGGAAGCUUUUCUGUCCAAGCCUGGGUUCCAAGAUAAGCAUACCAAGAUAAGAAUGCUCACGGAAGCGUGAUAGCACUUACAAGAUAUUGGACAGUUAUUUUUACUAAUUCUCGAGUAUUAUGUAAACAUUAUUAACACCAGAAAUAUGUAUUUACAAUUGGUAUUUAACUAUGCAGACAAUAUGAUUCUGAAGUGCAAAGUUUCUAUUGGAUAUAGAAAUGUAUAUAAAAAUUGAUAAUUGUGAGCUGUAAUUUCAGAACAGUUCGGUGACAGGGGCUGAGCUCUCCUCCUUGUGCACAAGUAAAAUAAAGUGUGCUUGACAAAGGACAGUUAAUCAGCAAUGAUACCUCUAUCAAGUCUACCCUCAGAUUUCACUCUUCUAAAGAAACCAGGCAAACACAUAAGAAGACAUCUCCAAACUACUUAACCUGGGACUUAACUCCACCUUUACAAUUGGAUCUUGACUUCCUGACCGAUAGAGCCCAGUCAGAGAAGAUAAGCAGGUGUUGUUGGUAUCCUUACAGGUGCAGCAAAAGCAAUCCCUCACUCAACAUCAGCAAAACUGGACAGCUGGUUGUUGACAUCAGAAAGGCCAACAUGCACCAGUCUGCAUUGCAGAAUCAGUGGUGGAGAGAGCCAGCAAUUUUAAAUUCUUGGGCAUUAGCUUAUUGAGUGACCUGCCCUGGGACCAGCAGAUAAAUGCAAACACAAGGAAUGUGUGCCAGUAUCUUUACUGUCUUCAGAGGUUAAAGAGGUUUGGUUUGUUUCUAACUAACCUAUGGGUGUACUGCUAAGUAUCCUGACUGGUUGCAUCAUGGUCUGGCAUGGCAAAUUGAAUGUACAGAAACACAAGCUACAGUGAGUGUGGACUCUGCCCAAUAAAUCAUGGGCUCAUCCCUCCCCACCAUCAUAGUAUCCACAAAAACAAUAUCUAUAUUGACAGUUCCUCUCCACUAUCUUUUUACAGCUAUCAUCGAGCAGGAGACACAGAAGCCUCAAGACCCUCACCAUCAGGUUCAAGAACUUCCCUUGAACCAUUUGGUUCUUGAAUCAACCAGCACAACCUUAAUCACUGCCGUUCAGCAACACUAUGACCAAUGUGCACUAAACUGGGCUACGUUUUUUGUUCUAAUUGUGUUUUCCCUUGUAAAAAUCAUGUAUAAUUUUAAUUUGUUUUUCUUGUGAAUGCUGUUUAUAUAAAGCAAUGCUGUGGUGCUGCUGGAAGUUUUCCAUUCCACCUGCAAACACAUGGUACAUAGUCCCUAUAAAAAGUUUAAUUCAUGUUUAAUUGUUUUACAACAUCAAAUCACAGUGAAUUUAAUUUGGCUUUUUUGACACUGAUCAACAGAAAAAGACUCGUGUCAAAGUGAAAACAGAUCUCUACAAAGAGAUGUAAAUAGAAAAUAAUUGAUUGCCCAAGUAUUCACUCCCUUUAAUAUGACACACCAAAUCAUCACUGGAUCAGCCAAUUGGUUUUAGAAGUCACAUAAGUAGUUUGACUUGUAACACUUCACUCUGCAUUCUGUUCUUUGGACUACCUCAAUGUUCUACUGUAAAGAAAAAAAUCCAUGUGAAAAACAAGAUUUUCACUGUACAUGUGUCUGUCACAACUUCUCCAAUCUAACCAUAUAACUGCAGUCCCGGCUUUUAGAAACCAUACUCGUCAAUAUUUUCUGGAUGCUAAUUCUUCCCUAUAAUGAGGCAAAUCAGAAUGAAUGUAACUCUCCAGUUAAGGCUGGACCAGUGUUUUAUGAAAUUCCAGCCUGACAUCCCUGCUGUUAUACUGGAGGUUUGUAUUAGUGAAAUCCAGAUUGCGUAUGCCUUCAUAACCUGUCUCACCUCGAUGGGCAUUCACUGUCCAGGGUCAGGAGUCCUUUUGCUAAAUUCAGCUUUUUUUUAAAACCACUGCAGAGGUCCAAGAUAUUUAUUGUUAAUUUUUAACUAGUAUUAUUUAGCCAGCCUCUUAAGAAACAAUACUGAGGCUGCAGCCUAAUCACAACAUUAUCAGUUAACCUCAGGCUCCUGCCAUCUGACCAGACCAAUUGAGUUGUGAAAGCCUCACAUGCAGCUGAAGUCAUCACUAGAUGACUGGGAAGUAAAAACGUACAAAGGCAGAAGGGUGGGGAGGAGUUACAGAGAUGAAGGCAUUGAGUCCACUCCUCAGCCUCCACUCAAGAAAGAUCAUCUGCCAGAGCCUUCUUGUUUGCAACAGACAACUUGUUUGCCUGCAAUUCACUGGUACGGGUUUCUAAUUUGUAAGAAUCGUACUUGUGUUUGGAAACUCCUUGUAGAAUUAUAAUCUGUCAGAAUUAUUUAUCAAAAUAAAUGUUCGAUGACAAAUAAAAUAACUGUGUUUAAUCUGCUUCAUUAACGGGUAGUAUCACCUCCUUGGCUGGGAGGUUGGGCUCAUGGCUCAAAAUAGUGAUUAAACCCCUUCAGAAAAAAGACCACGGUAGGUCAGUCCUUGAAUUAUUGGUUGAUGCAAUAUAAUCUCCCUAAAGUGAUGGUAUUGAUAAGUUAAGGUCAGAGCUUAAGUUUAAGACUCUAGAUUCGGGAUACUCAGAAUCAUCACAUUAUGGACCUGUGCACCCAUACCACAUCUCUCUGUUCCUACAUUCACAAUGAUAUCCCUCAUUCUGCAUUGCCUUUCCUUAUUCUUCCUACCAAAAAGCAUCACCUCACAGUUCACUCACGCAGGACGUUCUCCCUUCUCCUACAGGAUACACAAGAUAUAAAAGCCCGAAAGCACAUACCACCGGGCUGAAGAGCAGCUUCUAUCCCACCUUUAUAAGACUAUUCAAUGGUUCCCUAGGAUGAUAGGAUGGACUGUUGACCUCACAAUCUACCUCACUGUAAUUUUCCAAGUAACUGUCUGCUUCCACUGCACUUUCUCUGCAGUUGUUGCAUGUUAUUCUGCAUCCUAAAAUCUGCAGGCUCAGGUCACGAUUGCAGAUUCCCUGGACUACAUGUACAGAGCUCUUAGACCAUCACACCCCCAGUCCAGUCCCUACUAUCGUACAGUCUCUGUAAAAUAAAACUGAAGACCACAGAGCAAGAUUUCAGCACCAGAGGGACAUCAGGGAUUGCUGUGUCCUUCGCUUCACGGAAGCAUAGCUCACCCCCACUGUUUUGGACCACAAAGGCAGGUCAGCUGAGUCUUUAGAGGAGGCAGAGUAUGCUUCAUGAUUGACUCAUCAUGGUGGUUCUGUCUCAGUCCUACUCACCCGACCUGUAACAUCUAGCGGUAAAGUGCCGUCCAUUUGUCUGCCAGGGGAGUUUUCCACCAUCAUCCUGGUAGCUGUACAUUACACCCCAGACCAAUACCAGUCUGGCACUUGAGGUGGUGAGCACUAUGAUAAGCAGUCACAAAACAGCGCACCCUGAUGCCUUCUCUAUCACUGCGAGGGCUUUCAAUCAGGCCAGCUUGAGGAAGUCAUGACCAGCUACCACCAACAUAUCACCUGUGGAACCAGAGAAAGCAACACACUUGUAACCACUGUUACACCGUACUUACCGUGCAUCUGACCACCUGAAAGUACUUCUACUCCAGCGGACAAGCAGAGACUAAACCACAGCAGCAGCGGUGAGGACGAAGGGAGGCAGAGGAGUGUUUAAGUCAGUGGAUCGGAUAAUAUUCAUCUUCAGAUCUGAAUGAAUAGCCACAGUUGUCACUGAGUUCAUCAAGAGCAGUGUGGAAGACAGUGUGCCUCCGAGAACGUACCGGUGAAGGUGUGGAUCAUCCUGAGUUGUAGUCUGCUGAAAGCUAGAUCUGUGGCAUUCAAGAUUGGUGAUCCAGAACUAUACAAGAAAUACAACCCGUUUUGAGGGAGGAAAUGAAACAUUUCGAUUGAAGUUAGAGAUGGAAUUGGAUGCACGACAACUCCGGCAGGGUUUGCAGGCCAUUACCUCAUACAAGGCGAAACCUAACACCAUGUAUUGUUGUGAUGGUUCACUCCCCAUGCCUCUUAUGCACACUUUGAAAGGGAGACGAAAACUACAGCUGGGAAGUUCCUGCAGCAUCUGCUGUCUCUCUGAUCUCUGUCUCAGAGGCCAACGCCAGAUCAUCUGUCAAGGCGUCAGCUGCACCCAGCAGGGAACUGAAUAUCUGUGGCAACCAAUUGGCGGGAGUGUUCAAUGGCAUCUUCCAUCUCUCAAAGCUGCAGCAGGAGGCUCCCACCUGCUUCAAAUGGGCAGCAAUCAUAGUGCCCAAGAAGAACAGAGUGAGCUGCCUCAAUCACUGAAGCCAAGUGGCACUCACACUCACAUCUACCGUGACGAGGUGCUUUGAGAGGUCAGUCAUGGCUAGAAUCAACUUCUGCCUAAGCAAAGACCCGGACCCUCUACAAUUCACUUAUCACCACAAUAGGCUACAUUUGAUACAAUCUCACUGGCUCUCCACUCAGCCUUUGAUCACCUGGAGAAUAGCAAUAACUACAUCAGACUGCUGUUUAUUGAUAACAGUUCAGUAUUCCAACACAAUCAUGCCCUAUGUGUUAAUCAACAAGCAAAACCUGGGCCUCCAUACCUCCCUCUCCAAGUCAAUGCAACAUCUUCUCCUCAUUGGCAUAACUCAAGGAUGUGUGCCCAGACCACUGCUCUACUCUCUCUACACCCAUGACUGUGUGGUUAGGCACAGUUCAAAUGCCAUUCAUCAAUUACACAACCAUCAGCAGAAUUUCAGAUGACGACAAGAUGGUGUACAGUAGUGAGAUAGGUCAAGUGGUUGAGUGGUGUCACAACAACAACCUUGCACUCAAUGUCAGUAAGGCCAAGGAAUUAAUUCUGGACAUCAGGAAGGCAAAGUUGAAGGAACACACGCCAGACCGCAAGAAGGGAUUAGCAGUGGAAAGGGUGAGCAGUUUCAAUCAAGUUCCUGGGUGUGAAGAUCUAUCCUGGGUCCAACUUAUUGAUGCAAUUACAAAGAAGGCACCACAACAGCUAUAUUUAAUUAGCUUGAGAAGAGUUGAUAAUGUCACCAAAGAUGCUAACGAGUUUCUACAAAGAGCAUUCGAACUGAUUGCAUCACCGUCUGGUGUGGAGGGGCCACUGCACAGGAUCGGAACAAGCUGCAGAAAGUUGCCAACUCAGCCAGCUCCAUCAUGGGGACCACCCUCCCCAGCAUGGAGGGCAUCUUCAAAGCAAUGUCUCAAAAGCAAUGCAUCCAUCGUUAAGGACCCCCAGCGCCCAGGACAUGCUGUCUUCUCACUGCUACCAUCAAAGAGGAGGUACAGGAGAGUGAAAACACACACUCAAUGUUUUAGGAACAGCUCCUUCCCCACCACCAUUGGAUUUCUGAAUGGACAAUGAAACCACAUACACAACCUCACCAUUUCCUUCUUUGUCGCUCUCAUUUUGCAUUACCUAUUUGAAAUAUUAAAAAUAGUAUUAUACAAUAAAUUUCACAAUGUAUACCGAAUAUUAACCUGAUUCUGAUCUGUAAUUGUUUUAUCUUGUUUUACCUCAGUGUAACGAUCUGAUCUGUUUUAACAGUGUGCAAAACAAACCUUUCACUGUACCUUGGUACAUGUGACAAUAAUGAAGCAACUCCAGUUCCACAUUAAACUUCAUCAUGGGUAAUUCCAUGUCCUGCUGCAAUUUAUCAUCAACCCCAUGAGAGUCACAAUACUAUCAAGCUUCACAUCAUCCAGAAGCUUAGGAACUGUGGCAUGCACCCCCAAUUCAAGGUCAUUAACAGCUAAAAUAACCAAUGGCUUGAACACCAAUCCCUAGAGAACACCACUAUUCUGUCAUGCAGCCAACUUCAUUCCCCUUUCAAACAAGUGCUUCAAACUUGUCAAUAAGCCCAAUGUGCAUUAUCAAAACCCUUCUGGAAGUUCACAUACACAACACUGAUUGCAUGGCCCUCAAUUCUGGUCAUUACCUUAUCAAAUUCUAUUAUGUUGGUUAAAUGUGAUUUGCUGUAAGCAACAACAGGCUGGCUCACCUGAGUUAAUCUAUUUGUCUCUUGGUGAUAAUGAAUCCCCUCUCAUAUUUUUUUCCAAAUGCCUUCCCACUUUCAGGCUUAAAUAGACCAGCCUGUAGUUGCUGGCCCUAGCCCUGCCCUUGCUCCCUUUUUGGGACAAGGGGAGCGAAGUUCACCACUCUCCAGUUCUCUGGUGCAACCUUCACAUCCAGACAAGUUUGAUUUCCCCAGUGCAUACGAUGCAUGCCAUCCACCUCUGGUGGCCUACCCACCUUAAGUUCAUCCAACUCUGCCAAGUUAUCACCUUUGAACAAGGUACCUCAGCUACCUUCUCUCCUAAUUAUAUUACUUUGGAGGAAUGCCUUUUCCUGGAGAAGAUGGGUGCAGAGUAUCUCAAUACCUCCUUUACUAUCCAUAGGCACCUUCAUAUUUUCAUUACUAAUGGUCCUCAGUCCUUUUACCAUUUGUGUGCUUGCAAAACAGUUCUGGCUUUACUUUUCUUUUUCCUCAAAUGUUUUCUUUGCCUCUAUUAUUUUGGUUUUCUUCUCCCAUCUAAUUAUUUUGUAAUCAGUCUGGUUCUCAUUAGUGCUUGCGGCACUUGUCCCGAGCAACUUUGUUUCAACUUUC